UAAGCGGAGGAAAAGAAACUAACAAGGAUUCCCCUAGUAACUGCGAGUGAAGCGGGAAAAGCUCAAAUUUAAAAUCUGGCGGUCUUUGGCCGUCCGAGUUGUAAUUUAGAGAAGCGUCUUCCGCGCCGGACCGUGCACAAGUCUCCUGGAAUGGAGCGUCAUAGAGGGUGAGAAUCCCGUCUUUGGCACGGAUGCCUGGUGCUUCUGUGAUGCGCUCUCGAAGAGUCGAGUUGUUUGGGAAUGCAGCUCAAAAUGGGUGGUGAACUCCAUCUAAAGCUAAAUAUUGGCGAGAGACCGAUAGCGAACAAGUACCGUGAGGGAAAGAUGAAAAGCACUUUGGAAAGAGAGUGAAACAGUACGUGAAAUUGUUGAAAGGGAAACGCUUGAAGUCAGUCGCGUCGACCGAGACUCAGCCUUGCCUCGGCUUGGUGUACUUCUCGGCCCGACGGGUCAGCGUCAAUUUUGCCCCUCGGAUAAUGGCAAGGGAAAGGUGGCACCUUUACGGGUGUGUUAUAGUCUCCUGUCGCAUGCGAGGGGUGGGAUUGAGGAACUCAGCGCGCACCUUGGUGUCGGGGCUUCGGCCCACGUCACGCGCUUAGGAUGCUGGCGUAAUGGCUUUAAACGANC
rnacentral:rRNA from 1 species